GUGCCAGCAGCCGCGGUAAUACGUAGGGGACAAGCGUUGUCCGGAGUUACUGGGCGUAAAGCGCCCGCAGGCGGUCCGCUCAGUUUGCGCUGACAGCUCCUGGCUUAACUGGGAGAGCGGUGCGAAGACGGGCGGACUGAGAGGACCAGAGAGGGACAUGGAACUCCGGGUGUAGUGGUGAAAUGCGUAGAUAUCCGGAAGAACACCAAAGGCGAAGGCAGUGUCCUGGCUGGUACCUGACGCUGAGGGGCGAAAGCUAGGGGAGCGAACGGGAUUAGAUACCCCGGUAGUCC
rnacentral:rRNA from 1 species